rnacentral:rRNA from 1 species
UACGUAGGGUGCGAGCGUUGUCCGGAAUUAUUGGGCGUAAAGCGCGUGUAGGCGGCCCGGUAAGUCCGCUGUGAAAGUCCAGGGCUCAACCCUGGGAUGCCGGUGGAUACUGUCGGGCUCGAGUCCGGAAGAGGCGAGUGGAAUUCCUGGUGUAGCGGUGAAAUGCGCAGAUAUCAGGAGGAACACCAAUGGCGAAGGCAGCUCGCUGGGACGUGACUGACGCUGAGACGCGAAAGCGUGGGGAGCAAACAGG